CUCAUUAAUCAUUAAAACCAAACAUAGAGAACGCUGGCUAAGAAUUAUUUGUACAAAAGUGAAGUCAAGACCACAUAAAUCGUUUGAAAGUUUCUCCAAACUGCGCGUGGCCCACCCAAGCUAACAAUCGAACGCGUUUGGGUUAAAACUGUUUCUACACUGGGCUACAGCUUUGGCUGCUAGAAAAUAAAAAUCAACAACAACAACAACAACAACCAGCCAAAGACAAUGAAGGUCUGAAGGGGCAGCCACAAGAAUUCAAAAGGAAAUCGCGCCAAG